rnacentral:rRNA from 1 species
AGUGAACGCUGGCGGUAGGCCUAACACAUGCAAGUCGAACGGCAGCACAGUAAGAGCUUGCUCUUACGGGUGGCGAGUGGCGGACGGGUGAGGAAUACAUCGGAAUCUACUUUUUCGUGGGGGAUAACGUAGGGAAACUUACGCUAAUACCGCAUACGACCUGCGGGUGAAAGCAGGGGAUCUUCGGACCUUGCGCGAUUGAAUGAGCCGAUGUCGGAUUAGCUAGUUGGCGGGGUAAAGGCCCACCAAGGCGACGAUCCGUAGCUGGUCUGAGAGGAUGAUCAGCCACACUGUAACUGCGACACGGUCCAGACUCCUACGGGAGGCAGCAGUGGGGAAUAUUGGACAAUGGGCGCAAGACUGAUCCAGCCAUCCCGCGUGGGUGAAGAAGGCCUUCGGGUUGUAAAGCCCUUUUGUUGGGAAAGAAAAGCAGCAGGUUAAUACCCCGCUGUUCUGACGGUACCCAAAGAAUAAGCACCGGCUAACUUCGUG